CAAGUGUAGAGAUGCAUUGUUAAUUUACAUUCAGUCAAUCAUCCUCCAACACACUGCCUCUUUUCCUCUUGCUGUGUACAUCGAACCUUCAACCAACAGAUGAUCCACUCAGUAAUUUGAAAUGUAAGAAAGACAGAGGCUCACCCCACAACAGAAGAAACAUGACUGGGCUGGAUGGCGGUGGCAGCGAAUUCCCUUUCCCAAGCAGCAGCUCCGACAGUCCUCAGAAGGCAAGAGAUAGAGAGACAGAGAUGACAGAGAGAUGAGAGAGACCUGCACCCAACCCAGUUUUCCUCACUGCAUGGGAAACCUCAGCAUAUUGUCCUCUAGCAACAUGUAUGGGGAAAAAUUCCUGAAGAGGGAAAAAAAAAGCAAACCAAAAGGAGAACUCCUAAAACUCCAACAUUAUGACACUGAGAUAGCACAUCAAAGCCAGCUCUGGUGAUUCAGGUGAUUCUGCUGAUCACCUCAAGAGAUGCCUUCUGAGGGAAUACAGAACAGUAAGCAGGACCUUCAAGCAAGGUAAAUACAAAGAGAUGACUCAUUAGUCUAAAUGAUGAAGCCAAGUUUAGCCAUGGAGCAACUAGACCAACAGCACAGCAUCUGGGGGAGUUCACAUCCACUUGUUUGUAGUAUUCUGGGACCACAUAAAACAUUUGAACCACUUUCUGGGACUUCUCUCAAUACCUAGGGGAAUUCAAUCUCUUGGUAUAAUUUCAAUCCCCCAGAGGUCCCAGAGAUAACAUCAGAGGCAGAGCCUGAGGACCUUCAGAUAGAUUUAUUACAGAUAGAAUUAUUUUCAGAUUUUGUUCUAUUUGAGACAGAUGUAUUUUCCUUUUAAAAGUGUCCUUUUGACUUUGUAGAAAGGUGCAAACAAGACUGUGACUGCAAACCAAGUAUUUUGUUCUCUUGGAGAGUACGAUGGCAAGGAUUUUUGUAUUAUUCAAAUGGCUACAUAUGUUCUUUGCAGCACUGCUGGCUCAAUUAAUAUCUGAUUUUCUGCUCCCUGCCUCCAAAUUAUGGAACCUUUCUCAAAGAUCUGGAAUGACAGUUACACCUCUACAGACCACAACUCUAAAAUAACACUAAAGAAUUUCUGACAAUUGAUUUUCAAGAUGUUCUUACAGCAUAUUUUUCUAGUAAAGGCAAUCUAUACAUCUCUAACCAGAACUGUAGAUAUAUCAGUUACUUCAGCAUACUCACUGUCUGUAUAAUGGCCAUAGAAGCUGGCACACAGCUCUUCUGUGUGCCUCAGAGGUUCAGAUUUAGUCAAAAGCACCAUUGAAACCAGUGUGCCAGGAGCUAACUGAAUAAUGAAAGUAAUUUUCUCCAUUUCUGUGACAAAAAAGCCCUCAGUUUGGACAGCAUUAUUUGCAGCCAAUUAUUCUGCUACUUCCAGCAGUGCUCCAGGGAGCUUUAUUACUUCUCCACAGAGCUUAGGAGCUGUUCUUUAGGUUAAUCUCUUUUAGACUCCCAGUUCCUUUUGCUUACUUAAUGUUAACCCAGCAGUGCCAUAUGACAGGAGCUUUAAGUGCUAUCUGUUGCUUUGUAUUACCUCUCAAAGGACUUUGGAACCUGUCCCAACCAGGAAAAGAACAGCUUUUGAUUCUUGGAAUAAGACAAAAAGUGCCACAGUAACAGUGGAAGGGUGAAGAGGAAUAACUGGCAUAUUCAGAAUGCCACUUUAGGGCAAAGCUCAAGUGACACUGCCCUGCAGCAGGACUUGAAGAGUUUGAAGUCCAUCACUUUAUAAAUAUAUUUUGGCAAGAACCUGCACCAUUCUCUUAGACAUGUUUCUCCUUUGUAAUGACUGUGGUUUGUCUAUAAGAUUUCCAUAUCCCUGAUGUGCUUGCACUGGGAUUACUAGUAGGAGGAUUACAAAUUUAGAUAGUCUCAUAUCUGUGUAGCAUUUAAAGUCAAGGAACACUGGGCUUGGCCAGUAAGACCAUCACAUCCAGUUUCACAAUUUUCAAUCACAUCUGCCUACACCUUUUAACAUAAACCUGAAGAAGAGACGAAAUUCCACUUUAUCACUGUUGGAAUAGGGAGCAGAACUGUGACUUCAUAUAUUUUCAUCCUGCUUGAGCAGGGAGGUUGUCCCAAAUGACCCCACUAGCAGGUCCCUUUUAACCUUAAUCAUUCUGUGAUUUUCAGGGUCUUCAGAGCAAGCUUGCUGAGUUUAUAAUGUUUUAUUUAAUUAAAAAAUGGCCCUGGAAGUGUAGCUUGAACCCUGAAAGUAAAAAUGCAUUUAUUCCUUAUUUACUUAUUAAAUUUCCCAGAAAUAGAGCUGCAGACAAAGCACUUCUGUGAAUACCACAUUUGUUACCUGUGACAAAUUUAAUUCAGCAAGCUCUAAACCACAGGUCAGUCAGCCUGUUCCAUUAUGGUAUCAUCAGGGCAACUUAUGUUAACUGAAGCCAACUGAGGACCUCUUCAUCCUAAAGAGGACAAUAAUAAGCCUUUUACUUCAGCUCAGCAGAAUUCACAGUUCAUCCCAACAAGAGGGAAUGAAUCCCAGUAGGUGUGAGUGAACCCAACCUCUUUAAAUACUUAUUUAUCCCUAGCACAGCUGGUAAUCACAGUUUUGGGGGUGAGGCUAGGUUGGAUUUCUCUUUUCUGUCCUUCUCCAGGGUAGUCCUAGUGAAGUGGCCUAAGAUUCUAUCUUCUGAAGAGCCUAAGUGCUGCUAACAAAAGCCUCUAGAUCUUUCUCAUGCUGCUAGUAGAGCUGUGACUUUGAAGACUUCACUCUAAGAGCUUGAAAUGUAAAAGCUGAUUGGAUGUGCUUGGCUGCAAUGCCCCAGUAGCCCAGGACAGCCAGUUCCCCUAACAGUGCAUGUGAGAAGGUGAAGUGAACCCAUGACAGGCAGCCUGUCUUGGACAAGUGGAAACAUUGAAGACAAGGCUAUUUCCUUCUUGAGGUUUUCUGAGGUGGCUGUUAGAACUUCUCUUAAUGCAGUCACUGUCUUGAACCCAAUCUCUAAACAACCUAAAACAAACAGAGGAGGAUUUUCAUUCACUAUCUUCAUGUGUGCAAGGUGGGAAAAGUUAGUUAAUUGACAACACAUAAGAGGAUUCAAUAUCUUCCAUCAGAGCAGAAGGCACUAACCAUGCAAAAGCUUCAGUGGGAACUUGCAGUCCUCUUCUUUCCUCCAUUGAAACUGUGCUUAAACAUUCCCCAGUAAUUAAGUAUGCUUAUGACUCAAAAUAUUUAAAGUUCCUUGAGGGAAGAAGAUGUGCAGAGGCCUUGAUCCACUGUAUUUUUAUGUUUGGGGUUAUAUUUUUUAUGGAGGAGUUUGCAUCUUAUCUUCUCCUCCCCUGCAUUGUGUCCUUAGAACAAGACUGUGGAUAUGCUUUUUCUCAAAAUAAAAUAAUAAUUUAGGAAACAGAACAGUGUUUGUCAAAAGAAACGAGGGUGGAGAUUGUGGGUGCCAGCAUGGUGGCUUGUACCACUUUGGGACGCUUUCAGAAAUCAUCACUCCUGUCAUACACAGGAUCCAAUUUCAGCAAGAGUUCCACUCUCUCCUGUGGUUUCCACAUGGCCAAAUAAGACAAGUGCUUCUUGAGACCGAGGGCUCAUCAGCAAGGAUAGAUUUUCUACCCACUGGUAGAAAAUGAAUAAACCUCAGAUUGAGCAAGUUGCCAACAUACUCUUGAAUGUGCUGUGGAGCACCACUGUGGGAUUGUGUAGGCAUUGCCAUGGCCAGGGAGAGACCAAAUGGACGAUCUGGUAAUCUGAAACUUAAAUUUAGCUGCAGUUCCAGAGGGAUAGUCUGAUAGCCUGCUUCCUAAGCCAUUUCAUGUACUGGACCUCAAAGAUCCUCCCAGGCCCUGAAGUUGCUUUCUCUGAGGGUGUAUUGUGCCACACCUGCAUUUCAGACAGUUGGUUUUCAGUCCCUCCUCACUGAUUCUGCCCCACAUCCUGAGUUCUCUGGCUGAAGUGUGAGACUUCUAAAUUUAGAAGCAAUUAUUUAUCUCUGCCUAAGGGAAACUUCUAAGUAUGAUCUAACUUAAAUUCUUACCUGUAGGGCAGGCUGCACAGCUGAACUUGCCCAACAUGGAGAAGUAAAACAGGCACCAAACCCCUGCCUCAUUUCUGGGGGAGGCCCUCAGAUGGCUUCUGGGCUUCUCAAAUCUCUGCAUUACAGGGAACCUGCACACCUCUCCAGCAGCUGAAAUCUUGAGCAGGGAAGCAGGGUGGUAGCAAAAGACUGAGCUAACACAUGGUGAGGCCCAAGGAAAUGGUGUCAGAAGCACAGCCUUUAGUCCAGAAACAUAAUCAAAGCCUGGGGAAGAGUGUGGCAAAUGCUGGGGUCAGCACUGCAAGUAUAAAGCAAAGCUGGACAGCCCCUGAGCAAAGCACAAGGCACUGCCCAAACCAAACCAAGAUCAAUGCUGAGCAGCUCAGGAUAUAUCCACUGACUCCUUCCACCAAGCACAACACAAAUGGAGUGGCCUUCACUGAGGCAAAACCCCGUGAUCAAAACUGUAUUGCGCAGCAGGAUUUCUACUUCACCUUAAUAUCACAUGCAUUAAUCCUCUGCAAAACUACUGAUCCAACUCUCACACCACCAUGGUACUGUGAGGGAGAAACAAAGAGCUGGGUGUGCUCAGGACAGGAAGAGCUGCAAGGUUCACACUGCCCAAAACCAUAACUGACAGCGGAUACAUUAUGGUAUUUCUAUAAGAAUGUAAAUACAUAAUGAUGAUUUCCCCUGAGAGGCCAUAUUUUCAUUUCUUUACGAAACAAUUAAGUUGAAUUAAGAUGGAAUCUCUCCAUACAGAUGCUUCAGGAGUUGACAUUACAGAUUUCUCAGAAUUGCCACUGUCUCAAAAGUGCCUAAUUCAGAGCAAAUUAAUACAGCCUUGAAAG